UGUGUGUUUUGUUUUUGGCGAACUUUUUCAUGAAGCUAAACUGUUGAAGCUACUCACACGUGGAAAAAUACGAUUGUACAACAUUUUAAAUGUAUUCAUUUGGUAUAUUUCAGUUACCGCGAUUUGAGAGCUCAACAAAUUGAAGAAAAGUACGCCUUGUGUUUGGAGUGUUUGUUUUUGGGUUUGCUGGAAUAGCUGACACACGCAGCAUCAAACAGGGGAAGGGCCGCUCCAACAGUCGGGUGUUGACGGCGCUCAGCUCAGAGUUCCUGACACUCAGACUCUCGACCUCCUGCCGGCCGGUCUCGUCAUGUCGCGUCAUCUCCUCAGACUUCCUCCUGAAAGAAGCGCCAAAGUCAGCCAAAGAGUGGGCGAGGUCGGCCGCCCGGCGGAGUCUAAAGGUCACUGGCCUCUUGUCGGUGACCCCCUGGUCCAGCCGCAGGAUGCAAAGCCGCUCCUGUAAAGCGACGUUGUCAGAGCGCGCCUCUUCCAGCUGGCUCCUGCGCACAGUAAACUCAUUGAGAUUCACAGCAGAAGCCCCUACCAACAUUGCCACCUUGUGGCAACGUUCCCAUCAGAGUCAAUGCAUUGACAUUCAAAUAAAGUCACAACUAGCUUAAUUUUAUCAAUAUCAAA